AUUGAACGCUGGCGGCAUGCCUUACACAUGCAAGUCGAACGGCAGCACGGGAGCAAUCCUGGUAGCGAGUGGCGAACGGGUGAGUAAUAUAUCGGAACGUGCCCAGUCGUGGGGGAUAACGUAGCGAAAGCUACGCUAAUACCGCAUACGAUCUACGGAUGAAAGCGGGGGAUCGCAAGACCUCGCGCGAUUGGAGCGGCCGAUAUCAGAUUAGGUAGUUGGUGAGGUAAAGGCUCACCAAGCCGACGAUCUGUAGCUGGUCUGAGAGGACGACCAGCCACACUGGGACUGAGACACGGCCCAGACUCCUACGGAGGCAGCAGUGGGAAUUUUGGACAAUGGGCGCAAGCCUGAUCCAGCAAUGCCGCGUGCAGGAUGAAGGCCUC
rnacentral:rRNA from 1 species